GAUGAACGCUGGCGGCGUGCCUAAUACAUGCAAGUCGAGCGAAUGGAUUAAGAGCUUGCUCUUAUGAAGUUAGCGGCGGACGGGUGAGUAACACGUGGGUAACCUGCCCAUAAGACUGGGAUAACUCCGGGAAACCGGGGCUAAUACCGGAUAACAUUUUGAACCGCAUGGUUCGAAAUUGAAAGGCGGCUUCGGCUGUCACUUAUGGAUGGACCCGCGUCGCAUUAGCUAGUUGGUGAGGUAACGGCUCACCAAGGCAACGAUGCGUAGCCGACCUGAGAGGGUGAUCGGCCACACUGGGACUGAGACACGGCCCAGACUCCUACGGGAGGCAGCAGGAGGGAAUCUUCCGGAAUGGACGAAAGUCUGACGGAGCAACGCCGCGUGAGUGAUGAAGGCUUUCGGGUCGUAAAACUCUGUUGUUAGGGAAGAACAAGUGCUAGUUGAAUAAGCUGGCACCUUGACGGUACCUAACCAGAAAGCCACGGCUAACUACGUGCCAGCCGCCGCCGUAA
rnacentral:rRNA from 1 species